rnacentral:rRNA from 1 species
AAUGAACGCUGGCGGCGUGCCUAACACAUGCAAGUCGGAUGUGCCGCAAGGUGCAUGGCAGACGGGUGAGUAACGCGUGGGGAAUCUACCUCUUAGUGGGGAAUAACGCUCCGAAAGGAGUGGUAAUACCGCAUGAGACCUUCGGCUGGGAUGCUGGAGGUGAAACCUGGGGACCGCAAGGCCUGGGGCUAGGAGAGGAUCCUGCGUCUGAUUAGCUAGUUGGCGGGGUAAUGGCCCACCAAGGCGACGAUCAGUAGCCGGCCUGAGAGGGUGAUCGGCCACACUGGAACUGAGACACGGUCCAGACUCCUACGGGAGGCAGCAGUGGGGAAUUUUGCGCAAUGGACGAGAGUCUGACGCAGCAACGCCGCGUGGGUGAUGAAGGUCUUCGGACUGUAAAACCCUGUCGUCAGGGACGAAGGUGCUCGUGUUAAUAGCGCGAGUGCUUGACGGUACCUGGAGAGGAAGCCCCGGCUAACUCUGUGCCAGCAGCCGCGGUAA